rnacentral:misc_RNA from 1 species
AAAAAAAAAAUUGACCCUAUAUAUUGACCUCACCAAAAAUUUUUUCAAAAUCUGCCACUAAUUAAGCCCACCCAACUUACUUUUGUUUAUAAGGAUUUCAUCUAUCUUACAUGUGAGUUCCAACAGGGUCUAGCAAGAAUUUUCCAAAUAGGAUAUUAUCUCAAAGAUGGUGAAUAGAAAGAAAAGAAAAGGGGAUUGACAAUUUGAUCCACCAGUGCAAUUAGAAGCUAAACCAUGCUGUAUCUUUUCCUCUGAGGAGGAUUCACAUCUAGCAAUUGCUUGACAACAUCUCUCAUCGUGGGUCUGCUGCUUGGUUCCUUCUCAGUACAUCUCAAUGCAAUUAAAAGCACACCAAUUAUCUGUUCUGCAACAUUUGAAUCCACAGUUUCCUCCAUCAGGCUUGAAUCAACAAUUGCAGUGAUAUCUUGUGUCUCACUCCAGAGGGACCUAACCCAUCCAACAAUAUCUACUUCCUCCAUAAAUGAUGAAUCUGAUGGCUUCCUUCUGGUUAUUAAUUCAAGCAAAACGACCCCAUAACUAUAUACAUCAGAUUCUUUACCCCUUGCUGUCAUAUAUGCAUUUUCUGGUGCAAUGUAUCCAAGUGUACCAGAAACCGAGAUGGAUGUUCCUGAAGCAGAUGACUGAUCAAGAAGCUUGGCAAUGCCAAAGUCAGAGAUGCGAGGCUCCAUUUCAGAGUCCAGGAGUAUAUUCUGUGGUUUGAUGUCUCUGUGCAAUAUGGGGGGAUCACAAUCAUGGUGGAGAUAUGCCAAUCCAUGAGCAGUUCCAACUGCUAUUUUAUAGCGAGCACUCCAUUCCAGCUUUCGUUGUUGAUUAGCUGCAUAUAAAACAUCAUGAAGAUUCCCAUUUUCCAUGUACCUGUAUAAGAUCAAUCCGUAAUCUUUUCUAAACCAAUAGUCUUCCAAUUUCACCAGAUUCCGAUGCCUUAUGCUCUCAAUGGUUUGAAUUUCUCUGAUCAUGCUUCGACUUCCAUCUUCGUAAUCUGAAAAUUUAAGCUUCUUCACUGCAAAAACAUUUGCUGGACCUAAUUCAGCCUUAAAAACAUCUCCAUGGGCCCCCCUCCCAACAAUAUACUUGUCAUUUAGAUUCUCAGUAGCCUCCAUUAUUUGGUUAAGAAGGGAUUCAUCAUCCUCCGUGGGCUUCCUUCCCAAUGCUUCAUGCUGCUUUCUUCUUCUGCAAAGCAGAAACACACAAGCAAAUCCCAGAAGCAGAAAGACACCUAAUGAUGAUCCAAGGGCAAUCAUUGCAAUUUCAGUUUUGCUAAGGUUUUUUCCAUUGUGGGAACUAAUGGCACAAACUCUGAAAUUGCUGUUUCCAACACAAUUCAAGCCAUCUGACAGAGGACAAUUGAGACAGAGACCAGGAUUGCCCAAGAAUGAUGAUGGAGAAUCAUUCACCAAUUUCAUCAGUUUUUCUGGUAUUGAGCCAGUGAAGCCGUUGUAUGAAAUAUUAGCUUCCAAUAGUGACUGCAAGCUAUUAAGAACUUCCAAACUUCCCGUAAGAUUGUUGCUAGAGAUAUCCAGACUUUGUAGCUUGCUCAAAUCCCCCAGCUCCCGAGGAAUAUGACCAAUUAAUCCAUUACUUCUGAGAUCCAAACCAUAUUGAAGAUUCCUCAGUGUUCCAAUCGAAGAGGGAAUUUCCCCUGCCAGCAAGUUUCCACCCAUUCUUAGAAGACUAAGCCUUUUAAGUUCCGACAAAAAUGGUGGAAUGCCCCCAGUAAAACGAUUUUCUUCUAAAAUUAAAGUGGAUAAACAUGUCAAGUUCCGCAAACUCGAUGGAAUUGAACAGUUCAAAGAAUUGAACCCAACAUCAAAUACGUCUAAUUUCUUCCAGGUUGAUAGCUGAGGAGGCAAACAACCUUGCAAAUGAUUAUGUGCCAGGAACACUUCUGUAAGAUUUACAAGGUUACCAAGCUCUGGAGGUAUAAAACCUCCAAGCCUAUUCAUGGACAAGUCAAUGGAAGUGAGAUUCGUGCAAUUCCCCAAGCUUGAAGGAAUUUUUCCACUAAUGUUGUUACCUUUGAUGUUUAUAUAUGCAAGGUUUGGAUUGUCCAGAAAUUCUGGCAAAACCCCUGAGAGAUUAUUAUGAUCAAGUCUCGUUCUCCAGAGAGUUGGACAUUUUCCUACAUCAGAUGGUAUGCUACCUUGAAAAUGGUUACUACCCAAAUUCAGAACUCUUAAACGCUGCCUAAAGCAGAGAUUUGGUGGAAUUUGACCAGUGAACUGAUUAUACAUCAACUCCAGCAAAUCUAAACUGCUGUUAACUCCUAAACUUUGAGGUAUGACUCCAAAGAACGAGUUGUUAUACAGCGAAACACCUUCCAGACGCUUGAGAUGGGUCAACUCCAAAGGUAAUUCACCUGAAAGAUUGUUCUUAUACAAAAGAACAUGUCGAAGACUUUGAAUUUUCCAGAUGCUAAUUGGAAUCUCACCAUUCAAGCGGUUCUCAAACAAUUCUAGGUUCUGCAGUUCACUCAGCAUUCCCAAUUCAAUUGGAAUUUCCCCCUCAAGUUGGUUUCUGUAUAACUUUAAUUCUGUCAACGACUUGCACUUCCCAAGUUCAGGAGGAAUUCUCCCAGACAAACGAUUUUCAGUAAGGUAAAGGAGUGAAAGCUUAUCUAGCAAGCCAAAGGAAGAUGGGAUAUUGCCUGUCAAGUUGCUACCCACAAUGGCCAAUAUGGAUAAGCUACUACAGUUGCCCAGACCCUGUGGAAGAUCCCCACUAAAUUUAUUGUACGACAAAACUAGACUUUCUAAAUUCUUGCAAUUGCCCAAACCCAAAAGAAUAUUACCUUGAAGUCUGUUACUGCUGACAUCCAAGGCGACGAGGUUAUCAAGAAAAUUUAGAGACUGAGGCAAAAGACCCACCAAUUUGUUAUUAUUCAAAUAAAGUCGUUCCAAUUCACUACAAUUUCUUAUAGAAGGAGGAAUUAUGCCUGAUAAUAGAUUGUGGUCUAGCCAUAACUCAGAAACAUUAGUCAAGUUCCCAAUGUUACUAGGAAUUGAACCACUGAAACUGUUCUGGUCCAGGAAUAUUGUCUCUAAAUGUGGAAUUUGAAACAACCCAUCAGGUAUUUCUCCACUCAGCGAAUUGCUGUGAAGACUCAACCCCUUCAAAUUCCGCAGAUAUUUUAAGCUAUUCGGAAUUUCUCCAGUAAAAUGAUUUUCAGAAAGAUCUAAGCUUUCCAGUAGAGUACAAUUGCUCAGUUCUGAUGGAAUCACACCAGAGAAGUUGUUAUUGGCCAAAUUAAGGAUCUGCAACUCGGCCAAAUGUGCGAUCUCUGGUCCCAAUUGACCAGAAAUAGCACAACCGGAAAGAUUUAAAGAUAUGACAUUAUGGAUUCUCUUGUUACAUUGUAUGCCUUCCCAUGAACAAGGGAUAGAAUCAGAAUCAUUCCAUCCCAAGGCUAUGGAAGGAGGCACAGAUGUCCAGUGCCUCCUGAGUGACAAUAAAGUUAACCCAUCUGAGUUCAAAGCAGAAACAACAAGUAUCCACACAUGCAGCAGCAAAAAGAGAACCAAAACAAGCUUCAUGCUAUGUGUACUAGAAAGGGAUCAAGGAGGAAGAGGAGUUGCCACUUACCUGCUGCAAGCAAGCAUGCAAGUAAACUUAAUUAGCAGUUUUAGAGAGUCCCGUUUUGAGUUUUGAAGUAUCUGUCAACUGUCAUGGUGAAUGAAAGGAAAAUAGGAUUGGAUUUCAGCGAAUUUAAGAGAGAGAAAUGGGAGAGGAAGCUGAGAGGAGAGAGAGAGAGAGAGAGGGGAAGAAAAAAGAGAAUUAUAUCUUGUUUGCUCUUGUGGGCUAGAGUCUGCACAACUAUAUACAGAUAUUAAAGGUUAGAGAGGUUUCCA